AUACGGAGGGUGCAAGCGUUACUCGGAAUCACUGGGCGUAAAGCGCGCGCAGGCGGCUAUUUAAGUUGGAUGUGAAAGCCUACGGCUCAACCGUAGAACUGCAUCCAAAACUAUUAAGCUAGAGUGUGGGAGAGGAAGAUGGAAUUAGUUGUGUAGGGGUAAAAUCCGUAGAGAUAACUAGGAAUACCAAAAGCGAAGGCAAUCUUCUGGAACACUACUGACGCUGAGGCGCGAAAGCGUGGGGAGCAAACGGGAUUAGAAACCCUAGUAGUCC
rnacentral:rRNA from 1 species